AGAGCCGGCUGAGGUCGAAGGUUUCGGUCGAAGGCAAGCAGACAGAUCGACGAUGGCGGAGAAGGCCGUCGGUGUCGGCUUCGCCUCCGGGGCGAGAGGUAGAAGGCAGCGCUCGUCGACAUCUCGGAUGUGGGUGCGAGUUUCUACUCCCUGUUGAAGAUCCUGGCAAAGAAGGCGGUCUUCGUGGACGAGGAGACGCUUGCCAUGGCUUCCUUCACCUCCGAAGGCGCGCAAAACAUCAAGGUAAAUCGGAUAUCCAAGCCAGACAAUCUCAUUUUGAACACUGGGAUUCAAUCAAGGUAAGCUCUUGAAUGAAUCGUAUUCGAGGCAGUAACCUAACCUCAUUCUCAGAGCUGACAUAGUUCAGAUUGAAUAACUAAUGUUAAAAACAAAGCAAAAUCUAGCUGCCAAUCUUGUAGGUUUGUUGUGAUAAUUUUGAAUUAUGAUCAAUGUCUGAGCAAAGAAAGAUGGGGAGUGUUGGAAAAGAUAAAAUAUAUCAUAUAAAUUAGACAAAAAUAAUAAUUUUACUCUUCAUUGUUCAUCUAUUUCACAUCUCAAACUUUAAGCCCCUAGUGCCCAUGAUGAUUAUUCUUGGUUCAAUUGAGAAAACUACUAUGUAGUGAACAAAAUCUGCAAUGGCUGUGGCUUCACUAUGGAGAAUUUUGGUCGACAGGGUCGAUUAGAAGCCCAUGACUAGAUCCAUUUUUAUACAGUUUUAACUUGGCUAGUUAGAUAAUUCUUGUUAGAACCAUUGUUGGCAUGUUGUGCAAGUUUGAGCCAUUUUAUGUCAUCAUAUUUACAUAAUGUCUUCCUGUACAUGAUGAAAUGAUGAGGCAAGAAGGGGGAAACACUAUCCCUCAUCUCCCUUAACAAGAAUCAUAGAGGAGAGUAAAAAGAUUCCCUCAGGGUGAUGCGGUGGUUAAGGCAUGGGGUGUUGCUACAUGAAGUCUUGAGGGACGGAUUGGCGGAGGCGCUAGAGGCGAGUGAAUCGUCUUUUGCCAUAUUGAGGAGAGUAAAAAGGAUUGAGUAAAGCAAAAGAAUUGGGGGGACACCAACUAAUUAUAGAGGAGAAGUGCGGUUGAUUUGCUUGAUCUUGUUGGGCAAAAGGCUCGCAGCAUGAAUCAACCAAUUUAUUUGCCACCUCAUAACCUCAGAUCUACCCUUCUACCUUUAGUAUAUAUUGUUAUUUUAGUAUAUGUUACAGUUUUAUCAUUUUAUUUUCACUGCUAUAGUUGGUCAAAGGAACUUCAUGUAAAUUUUAUCCAUUAACUUUGGAAGUAACUGUUUGAUGAGUAGAAAAAAAAAAGCUUCAGCAACCCUCUUGUGUGACUUUUGCAAGCAUCUAUUUUAAUGGUCUAAUUUUCAUAUUGACAUGUGAAUUUGGACCUUAAUUUUUAUUUAUCACUUCUCAUUGCAUAAUCAA